ensembl:lncRNA
CCCGGACGCCGAUGGGCUGCCCGCCGGAGGGCGGAGCCGGGGCUCGGCCUGAUGCUGAGAUGGGAAGAAGCGGGCCGGUUACAUCUCUUAGCAUCGCUGCUGCUUCUCUUUGCUUUUCUAAAGCGUUACCUUACGUGGGUACUUUGCUCGGGCUGGCUCCCAGCGGCACGUUUGUUGUGAACUACUCUGCAGUCUGCAGCCCAGCCAGAACCGGGAGGGACACCCCACGUUUUGCCUGACGCCUUUUCCUUCCAAGGCUGGAGCUGCCUCAGUCUAGCUGCUGGAACACACCCAGCAUUCCAUGAGCAAGCAACAACAACUACUCUUUUAUUGUAUCCAACUUUUAUUAUAUGCAGUUGGGAACAUUUGACAAAUUUUGUUUUUCCUUUAAAAAGCUCUUAUUCUCAAUUAUGAAGGUAACAAGAACAAAUGCAAAAAUAUCCAUCUAUGCUUCAGUUGUUUCUCCCUGGAGAAUGGACAGUUCCCUCAAAAAUCUGCCUUCCAUGUAGUAUUUCACCUAGGCAACCCCCUUAGUGCAGAACUGGGAUACUUUUUCUGACAUCAUGGGAUUACCAGCAAUUACAGAAAGGUAAGUGAUAUAUCAUAGAAUGGCCUGGGUUGGAAAGGACCACAGCGAUCAUCUGGUUUCAACCCCCCUGCUACGUGCAAGGUUACCAACCACCAGACCAGGCUGCCCAGAGCCACAUCCAGCCUGGCCUUGAAUGCCUCCAGGGAUGGGGCAUCCACAACCUUCUGGGGCAACCUGUUCCAGUGUGUCACCACCCUCUGUGUGAAAAACUUCCUCCUAAUAUCUAACCUAAACCUCCCCUGUCUCAGUUUAAGACAAUUCCCCCUCAUCCUAUCACUAUCCACCCUUGUAAACAGCUCUUCUCCCUCCUGUUUAUAUGCUCCCUUCAAGUAUUGGAAGGCCACAAUGAGGUCUCCCCAGAGCCUUCUCUUCUCCAAUCUAAACAAUCUCAGCUCCCUCAGCCUUUCCUCAAAGGAGAGGUGCUCCAGCCCUCUGAUCAUCUUAGUGGCCCUCCUCUGGACCCACUCUAAGAGCUCCACGUCCUUCCUGUACUGGGGGCCCCAGGCCUGGAUGCAGUACUCAGAUGGGGCCUCACAAGGGUUGAGUAGAGGGGGACAAUCACCUCCCUCUGGUCUUCCUAGGUCUCGAGCUGGAUCAGCUGAUUUCAUAACACUGAGCAUCACAACUUGGGUAGAAUCACUAGGUUUCCAGUAAUGAAAUUAUCUCCUUUCCAUCUGUUCCAUGCAUACUGCCACCCUUGUGAAUUUGUUCUUUUUCCAAACUCAGACUUACCUAUAGGCUGUUCCAAACCCAAUUAGGCCAUACAACUUCAUUAUGCUAAAAAUAUGUAAGCUAAUUGAUUUCUGGACUAUUUGGAUUUGAAAAAUGAUUGCUAAGAAGGGAUUGGGGAUGGAUAACCACCACACCCCUGGGUUUAUACACAAGCAGAAUCACCCUCCUCCCAGACUGAAUGAUCUUAGAGAUGAUGCAUCUCUGAGCAUUCAUUUCAUGCCUGAGUGCUACAGAUGAAAGCUCAAUAUUCUUGGCUUGUACAACUCUUUGGAGUUAUUAUAUUAUUUCGUAAGUCUAAAUAUCUUCAGUUAUAUUGUCAAAAAAAAAAAAAAAAAACUCUUUUAAGAAAAUAAAUAGCUUUUUUAACUUUAAAAGUACUGUACAAGUUCUGCAUAUGUUAAGAGAAAGAUUACUGCCCAGAAGACAAAAUGAAAUUAAUAAGCAUAAAGCACAGUGGCUAAGUUGCAAAACAAAUGUAUGUAUGUAGUUUAAUGGCUUAUUUUAUCACAUGUUCAAAUUUACACCUGUAAUAGAAAAAAAUAAAUCUGUUUUAACAGCUUCCUGUGAACUUGAAGUCUUGUUAUGAGUUUCUGGUAUGUAACCAGUGAGUCAAGAUGUUUGUGCAGCUCACAGAGGCUUUCUUCUGUCCUCAAACUGUCCUCAAACUACGUGGGUCCUGGGGAGAAGCCUUGUUUUAGGCCCCAACUGCUGCUCUGCUGUGCAGCAGUAAGGAGAAACAGCAAGGUUCCUUCCAAAGGCUGAGACUGACGGGAGCUUUUACCACAUAGGGCAGAAGUUAGAAGGACAUCCAGCCUGGCACUUUGUCCUUAGAAGCAACGCAGGAAGUAGGCAGAGAUCCCUUUUGCCCAACCAUAGCCAAAGGCAGCCAAAGAAAUUCGUGGGAGUGGAGGAGGGCUGGCAGCAGUUGUCAGGACUUGGUAUUGUAGUGCAGCUUCCACUGGUCAAGCUGGUUGGGAUGAUUUUUUUCAGACAGAUUUUUGCUUGACAAAUAGCUCCAUGUGAUGUCCAUUUAAAGGCCUCCUAUGAGUAAUAUUGUACUGUGAAGCUCUAUUUUUCUGUUAAAGAGAUUUUAUGUUCUGCACCUCUUCCUGAUUUCUCUUCCAUGUUUUCCUUUUCUUUUUCAAUCUGCAUAAUCAAAGGAGCAAAAAUACAAAGAGUUCUACCUGCUUCCUUUAACAUAG